GACGAACGCUGGCGGCGUGCCUAAUACAUGCAAGUAGAACGCUGAAGGAGGAGCUUGCUUCUCUGGAUGAGUUGCGAACGGGUGAGUAACGCGUAGGUAACCUGCCUGGUAGCGGGGGAUAACUAUUGGAAACGAUAGCUAAUACCGCAUAAGAGUAGAUGUUGCAUGACAUAUGCUUAAAAGGUGCAAUUGCAUCACUACCAGAUGGACCUGCGUUGUAUUAGCUAGUUGGUGAGGUAACGGCUCACCAAGGCAACGAUACAUAGCCGACCUGAGAGGGUGAUCGGCCACACUGGGACUGAGACACGGCCCAGACUCCUACGGGAGGCAGCAGUAGGGAAUCUUCGGCAAUGGACGGAAGUCUGACCGAGCAACGCCGCGUGAGUGAAGAAGGUUUUCGGAUCGUAAAGCUCUGUUGUAAGAGAAGAACUGAGUGUGAGAAGUGGAAAG
rnacentral:rRNA from 1 species